CUGGACUUUGAUCUAAACAUGGAAUGGAACUGAGCAACAUCUUUUAACAUAGCUGAAGGAAUGUUAUCAUGUUUGAAAUGUGUCUCCUGAAGAAAAAGAACAUCAGUUCUGGGUUUUCACCUCCCUGAACAACAAUCUACAUUUAUGUGGUGAGUUCAGGCCCCUCACAUUAAAAGACAGUACCAUUGGUAUUGCUCAGCAUAAACCAAAAGUAGUGAGGAGCCCUAAACACAACAAACAUCAGUAAAAAAA